AUGUUGCAGUAGUGUGUUUAUUUUGUUGCGCAUACUAUCCUGGUUAUGUUUCAUAUGUUCUACCAUAUCUUUUCUGUUUUUAUCUUAUAUAUGUUUCUGGUAUAAGUUAUAUGUCAUGUCUGCUUGUUUCGUUGGUUAAGUUAAAACGUUUCAUAUGUUGUUGUCUCUAUGUUUCACUAGUGGUUCAGUCACGUCGUUUGAUAUACUGUUUCUCAUAUGUUUUAGUAGUUCU
rnacentral:lncRNA from 1 species